GUAGCCUUAAGAAACUCUAUUUGAUUAUUAACAGUUUCUUAAAGCCGUUAAAAAUCAAAUAGAGUUUCUUAAGGGAAUAUGACAUUUGCUUGCGUUACAGCAUAACGACAUGUUCCGUUACCUUGUUAUUUUUGACUCAGACCAAUAUAACUGACAGUGUUAUUCAAAUUUUGUCAACACUAUGUAGUUUCUAUGUAGUUUAAGCAGGGUUUAAAAACCAUUUUAUUUUUAAUAUUUAUUUAAUUAAGCACUCUGAUUUUAAUUGCAAAACAUUUCAUUAUUUUAAUCACAUGUUUAAUAUUUGAUUUCAGUUUAUCUUCAUUUGAUAUGACAAUUAAAAAGAAAAUAGAAAAAAUAUUUUGUUUAAUUUUGAUGGAGAUUUUCGACGUAUUAACACAUCGCAUACCAUUUUCCAAACGAAAAAUAUAUUAUAUUUAAAAUCAUUAAAUUAUUUGAUUUAAUUAAUUUGCUCUUGAUGAACAUACUUUUUGAGACAUACUGUAUGUGCUGCGCCGCCAUUCAUAAUGUCAAAAAGUUCGUCAAGCUUCGUGUGUGAUGAAAGGCGACAAGAAAAGCAAGCAGCCGCAAAUUUUACAGCUUCUAAUUUGUAUAUUAUCAAGCUUGUACAACAGCAUUUAAACUCGGUGGUAGAGUUCCGCCCGCUCCAUCAAAUACAGAGAAUGACGCCGUCCAAUAUUGUUCCUGCCUCGCGGUCGUGCACUACCGUCAGCACUGCACUAGCCGCAACAAAACAUGCACCCCUUGUCCCACAUUUCCAUAAUCUCGACGGUGGUCAACAGCUGUACGACGGCCGCCUACAGCCACCGGGAUAGCCUCGCUCUCUAGUGCGAUACUGAUGAACCUGCGGCGCAAGAGCACGCAAGCGUUUGGUGGCGGCGGCUGUGGAAUGAUGGUGCACCUCGGUAAAUAUGGUGCACGAGAAGAAUUCUUCCCGCAAAAGGCAUCCGCUUGGGCACUGAAAUCGAACGACGCCUACGGAGACAGUAACAACAACAACCAUCCGGACAGGAGACGGAUCUCAGUCGGUUGUAUGAAAACAGCAAGGUGCACUAGAUCGUGAAACACUGGCCGUCCAGUACGACACAGGCCUUAUCAGCAGAUAGCAUGGAAAUGCCGCGUACAAUGAGGCCGCACCGUGACGCCCCGCGCUGUAGCCCUCGUUUACGCACCGAAGUUAAGCAGUUCCAUCGGGAUGUCUUCACCGCGCCGGAUCAUUUGCGGGACGAUAGCGACAAAUGUCCCGCCGUAGGAUCCAACCAAUAUGGUGGAUAAUUAAUAUAAAAAAUACAAAUUACAUUAAUUUAAUUCAUAAAAAAAUGAAAA